UGUUGAACGUUUACUGUCUGUCUUUAUCGUCUGUGUCGUGUGUGCCUGCUUUCACUGUUUGUGUAUCUUUCAUUAUGGGACAGAGCACUUCACCGCCUCUGUCCCUGACCCUUGAUCACUGGACCAAAGUCUGCUUAAAGGCCCAGAAUCUUUCUUUUUCAGUAAAACGCCAGACCUGGCAGACUCUCUGUGCCUCAGAAUGGCCCACCUUUGGAGUCGGAUGGCCCCCAGAAGGAUCUUUAUACUUCCCACUAAUUUGAAAAGUCAGAGAUAUUGUCUUUGUCUUUCAGCCGGGACCACAUAGCCAUCCAGAUCAACAGCCAUAUAUCUUAACUUGCCAGGACCUCUGUGAAUCUCCUCCUCCAUGGGUAAAGCCUUUCCUUGUCCCUGCCCCCCACUCCUACUCCUUCCCCCACGAUUCUGUCUCUCAAACCCUCUGCUCCUCCUCCUCCUCCACCCUCUGUUCUCCCUGAGUCUCAAGAUUUGACUCUACUGGACUCUCCUCCCCCUCCUUAUCCCCUGCCCUCAUCCCCCAACCCCCAACACCCUCUAAGUGAUUCCCCUGCUGCUGACUCAGCCUCUCUGCCAUUGGAGGAAGCUAAGCUGGCCCAGUGCCCUCCAGAUGACUCCCCCGCAGCCCACACAGCCCCUCCUCCCCUGGAGGAAACUGGCCCAGCUAAAAGAACUCAAAGAACUUGCCAGCGUUUUCACACCAGCCUACUUGGGAUGACUGCCAACAACUCCUAGGGACUCUCUUCAUGACAGAGGAACAAAAGAGAAUCCUCCUGGAAGCUAGGAAAAAAAUAUCCUUGGACCAGAUGGGCGACCGACACAACUUCCCCUUGAACCAACCCAACUGGGACCCCAACACCUUUGAAGAUAGUCAGUUGCUGUUUGCUUUCGAAUGGAUAAACCCAGAAACCGGAAUGUCUGAUCAACUAACUUGGACCAGACUCCCACAGGGGUUCAAAAACUCCCCCACUCUCUUUGAUGAAGCCCUCCACAGAGAUCUCAACAACUUCAGAACUAUGCACCCCGAAGUCACCCUGCUUCAAUAUGUGGAUGACCUGCUACUGGCAGCUGAUACAAGGAAAACUAUAACAUUUUCAGGAUGGAUUGAAGCCUUCCCCACAAAAAAAAGAAACUGCCCAAAUGGUGGUCAAGAAGAUCCUGAAAGAUAUUUUUCCAAGAUACGGCCUGCCUAAGGUAAUAGGGUCUGAUAAUGGACCGGCGUUCGUGGCCCAGGUAAGUCAGGGGUUAACCAGGACCCUGGGGAUUAAUUGGAAGUUACAUUGUGCUUAUAGACCCCAGAGCUCAGGACAAAUAAAAAGAAUGAAUAGAACCAUUAAAGAGACCUUAAGCUUAGAGACCAGCAUAAAAGAUUGGACUAUGCUCCUGCCUUAUGCACUGUUUCAUACAAGAAAUACUCCCUCUGUUUCUUUGUGUAACCUCACCCCCUAUGAAAUUCUCUAUGGUGCCCCUCCUCCAGUAAGGGACCUAACCCCAACUCUAAGACCUAACGAUCCCUUCCACACCCCCUUGCUUGACAGACUUAAAGCUCUUAAAAAAACUCAGUGAUACCUGUGGAAACAGCUGGCCACUGCCUACCAACCUGGGGACGAAGGAACUCCACACCAAUAUCAAGUGGGAAACUUCAUCUACGUAAGACGACAUCAGGUGUCAUCCCUGGAACCCCGCUGGAAAGGACCAUACCAGGUGCUACUUAUAACACCUACAGCGGUAAAGGUAGACGGAAUCACUUCCUGGAUCCAUGCCUCUCAUCUCAAGCCUGCGCCCUGUCCAGACUCUGGCUGGAAAUUGGAAAAGACUGGUAACCCUCUCAAAUUGUGUAUUUGCCAUGUGGAUAAGGCUAUGGACUCUCCCCUUGACCACCAGUAGUCCUAACCCUCAUCAGCCCGUUCAGCAGCGAUGGCUAAUCACAAAUCCUACUGGACAAGAAGUAUGAUCUAUCUCACAUACAGCCCCCUUAGGGACCUGAUGGCCAUCUCUCCACCCAGACAUUUGUCAGCUGGCUAUAGGUCUUUCCUAUUGGGAUAUCCCUGAUGAAGAGGAUCCCACUAAAAUUCCAUUAAAUCCCUUCCAUACCAUAGAUAAUAGAAACAAACAUUAUGGAUGUAGGGACACGCGAGCCAGAUGCAGGUUGGCUAACCUAGAUUACUAUGUUUGCCCGGCGGACUAUCAAAGCCACAAACAGUCACGGCUGUGUGGGGGAAAAGCCGACUUCUUCUGUAAGUCAUAAGGAUGUGAACAUACAGGGGCUACCUGAUGGAACCCAAACCUCCGCCGGUUCUCAGACCAUUGCCCCCUUGCUGAAGUAACAGGUACUGAGGUACCCCUCCACCCACUCACUCCUCUCUUCUCCUGUCAGUGCCCACACCGGGUCCCACCAGGUCCUCUUACCAUCUAACUCAAAGCUCAAACCAGCUGAGGAGAGCCCUCAGACCCCUAUCCAACAUGUAAUGAAAAUGGCCUUUAAAGUUGCUUUGUCAUCACUGAAAACAGGUUACUAAAAAUUUAAAGUCCCUCACAGGCUUUUUGGGAUACUCACUCCAGUCUUCCCCUCUGCUCUACCUGUUCUACUACUCAAGUUUUUGUUGCUAGGAAAAUCCCAAACCCCUUUCCCAUUAUUCUUUUACAUCUCUUCUUCCUCAUUCUCAGAUCCACGGAGCUGCUCUCAGCCCCGCCUUCCCCGUCUUCCCCCUCUGUACCAGGCCCACAGAAAAGUCUUAACUGACCUUCUCCAGAAGUCUUCACCAUGGCUGACUUUAGGACUUUCAACAAAAGAGUCCCUAUAAAAGAGUUCAGUGUAGAUAAACUUCCUCUUUUCAUGUUGCCCUGUUCUACUUGGCCACUGGCUGGAAAAAUCAGCACUCCUAAGCUAGACACCCCCUUACUAGUUUUUCACAAAAUAUGUAAACAAGGCCUUUGGCCUUGAGCUGGGGCUUCACAGAGAUGGCUACAUUUCUAAGAUAAAAAAGUUAUCAACUGGGCUCCAUGGUAACAGCUGGCAGGGGGAAAAAAGAAAAAAAAAGUUCUCCCCCUCCCAGGUAUCCUUAAAAAGUUAACUUGCCCAGAACAGAGGAAAAAAACAGAAACAAAAACUGCUUUUUGUGAACUUCUGCAGACUGUGAACUUCUGAGCCCCUUCCCUUACAUGUUGAGUACAAAAUUCUGAAACUACCUAAACUUGGGGUUCAUGGGAUUAAUUGAUUACAACAGAAGCAGUGCCCUCUGAAUCCGGUUGCAACCAAAUAGGACUGUUUCCCUGUCUUCGGUGCUAUCUUAGGUGCCUUGCCUUGUCCGUCCCUACAACAGUAUAAUUCUAUAUACUUAAACAUUAUUUAUGUUUUCAUGAAAUGGUCAACAGAUGUGAUUAAUUGUAUAAUGGUGCAGAUGUUUCCCAGAGUGCUCUAUCAUGACACAGUUUCAUUUGAAGAUCAAAUAAGGGGACAUACAACCCGGUUCCGCCGGGAACCUGUAUCCCUCACUUUAACCAUCCUAUUAGGAAUAGGAGUUGCUACAGGGGUGGACACAAGAACCACUGCCCUGGUCCAUGGGACACAACAAAUGACCCAAUUAGAAACAGCAAUGGACCAAAACUUAAAGAUAUUAAAAACCUCCAUCACAGCUUUGCAGGAAUCUUUAACCUCUCUCUCUGAAGUUGUUUUACAGAACAGUCGAGGGUUGGACCUCCUCUUCAUGAGAAAAGAAAGCCUUUGUGCUGCAUUGAGGGAAGAAUGUUGUUUUUAUGCCAACCAUACUGGAGUUGUAAAAUAAUCUAUGAAUAAAUUAAGAAGAUGCCUUUAAGAGCGUCAACGAGAGAGAGAAACCCAAAAAGGGUGGUAUGAGUCUUGGUUCACACAGUCCCCCUGGUUAACUAUGCUUUUAUCAGCCCUGGCUGGUCCUUUAAUAAUCCUUAUAUUGUUGCUAACUCUAGGACCCUGUUUGCUCAACCAUGUAGUUUCCUUUCUCCAAGCUCAAAUUGGACGAGUCAAACUUAUGGUAAUCAGACAACAAUAUACCCCACUAGCAGACCAUAAAAUGUGACACCCCCCAAUGAUCACUUUUAUGAUUAAAAGUAACCAGAAGAAAAAGUGGGAAAUGAAAGGUUAAUAAUCUUGAGAACUGUUUGCUAAUCUUGUUCCUAGAAGGUGCUGUCCCCAACUGCCAAACUGCAGAAUGUAUCCCCUCACCCGGUUGCAGGCAAACCGCCCACUCGCCCUGACCCGUCAAUGAACUUCCCUCCCUGCCCUCUCCAAGGAAAGUAUAUAAGCUCUGCUUAAGCUGUUCUCAGGGCUCUUUGCUCUAUUCAAGUGAGCUCUGAGCCCCAGCAUGCUGGACCCCAAUAAACCCUUUGCUGUUGCAUGA